GUAAGCUACAAAGAGCAAGUGGUGGAUGCCUUGGCUAGUAGAGGCGAUGAAAGACGUGCCAGGCUGCGAUAAGUCUCGGGGAGCCGUCAAGGGGCUUUGAUCCGGGAAUUUCUGAAUGGGGCAACCCAACUAAUAGAGAUAUUAG
rnacentral:rRNA from 1 species